UGGUUAGACAACACCUGGAGAAA
rnacentral:snRNA from 1 species